rnacentral:ncRNA from 2 species
UUAAAUGUGCGUGGCGCUUUGUUCCUGAUUGCGGGCCACGUUAAAAAUCCGCUAAAGAGGUCUCGGAUCAUCCCGA